UACGUAGGCAGCGAGCGUUGUUCGGAGUUAUUGGGCGUAAAGCGCGUGUAGGCGGCCGUGCAAGUCGGGUGUGAAAGCCCUCGGCCCAACCGAGGAAGUGCGCCCGAAACUGCAUGGCUUGAGUACCGGAGAGGAUGGCGGAAUUCCCCAAGUAGAGGUGAAAUUCGUAGAUAUGGGGAGGAACACCGGUGGCGAAGGCGGCCAUCUGGACGGAUACUGACGCUGAGACGCGAAAGCGUGGGGAGCAAACAGG
rnacentral:rRNA from 1 species